rnacentral:rRNA from 1 species
CCCUUAGAUGUUCUGGGCCGCACGCGCGCUACACUGAUGCAUUCAACGAGCCUAUCCUUGACCGACAGGUCCGGGUAAUCUUUGAAUCUGCAUCGUGACGGGGAUAGAUUAUUGCAAUUAUUAAUCUUCAACGAGGAAUGCCUAGUAGGCGCAAGUCAUCAGCUUGCGUCGAUUACGUCCCUGCCCUCUGUACACACCGCCCGUCGCUCCUACCGAUUGGGUGUGCUGGUGAAAUGUUCGGAUCGGCCGUUUGUCGCGGUUUCCGCGGCUCGUGGCUGAGAAGUUCAUUAAACCCUCCCACCUAGAGGAAGGAGAAGUCGUAACA